AGUGAACGCUGGCGGUAGGCCUAACACAUGCAAGUCGAACGGCAGCACAGUAAGAGCUUGCUCUUACGGGUGGCGAGUGGCGGACGGGUGAGGAAUACAUCGGAAUCUACUUUUUCGUGGGGGAUAACGUAGGGAAACUUACGCUAAUACAGCAUACGACCUACGGGUGAAAGCAGGGGAUCUUCGGACCUUGCGCGUUUGUAUGAGCCGAUGUCGGAUUAGCUAGUUGGCUGGGUAAAGUCCCACCAAGGCGACGAUCCGUAGCUGGUCUGAGAGGAUGAGCAGCCACACUGGAACUGAGACACGGUCCAGACUCCUACGGGAGGCAGCAGUGGGGAAUAUUGGACAAUGGGCGCAAGCCUGAUCCAGCCAUACCGCGUGGGUGAAGAAGGCCUUCGGGUUGUAAAGCCCUUUUGUUGGGAAAGAAAAGCAGCAGGUUAAUACCCCGCUGUUCUGACGGUACCCAAAGAAUAAGCACCGGCUAACUUCGUG
rnacentral:rRNA from 1 species